CUUAGAACAAGCUGAUGAAUGGAUUGAAGACCAUCCAACAGCAAUGCAAAUUGUACCAUUCCUAUUCAGUAUCGGGUUUUUUUUGACAUCACUUCAUGUAUCAGAGGCUGUGGAUUUUUCCAUUAUCAUGAAUUAUGGAAUUACCGUUUUUGUAGACGUUAUUGCAUGGAAUCUUUAUCAACGUUUAUUACAAGAAAUGGCUGAUAACAUUUUAUUAUCAUCUUUUAUUAGUAGAAAACAUAAACUUAUAAAUAGAGGACAACAAACAGUCUCGAUAUGUAAAAAUUGUAAAUGUUUUAAGGAAUAAUGAAGAUAUAAAGUUGAACCAAGGAAACCCUUGAUAAUUAUAUUAAUGACUAUAACAAUAGUAGUGAUAUAAAAAAUAAAUUACUUCAAGAUAUUUUUAUUAAAAAGAAGGCAUUUAUUUUAUCCAAACUAAAUUAUAAUUAACGUACAAAUAGUGUAGAUAUAAUAGUGAUAAUAUGGAAAAAGAAUAACUAUAUUUGGGCAUUCAUGAUGGAAUCGUAUAAGUAUUCUUAUGUUGACUUAAUAAAUAUUAAAUGUCAUACUAAUUAUACGAUAGACUAGGAAGAGGAUUUUUUUGGAUUAAGUAUAUAUAAAAAAAUUAAUAUCACAAAUU